GCCUCAGAGGCUCUUGGGAGGGGUAGUGGAGUUAGCAAGGUUUGGAUAAGACACAGUCCCUACCCUCAUGAUGUAUAUAAUCUAGAGGGGGUGUAAUAUAUGAAAACAUGGGGGCAGCUAGUUGGUGCAAUGGUUAGAGUACCAGCCCUGAAGUCAGGAGGACCUGAGUUCAAAUGUGACCUCAGAUGCUUAAUACUUCCUGGGUCAAGAAGUGACAUAGGAAACUGCUAUUCUGGACCUGAUGCUGAUCAACUUAUAAUUACUUAUUGCUGUUGUUGAAAAGGAAAAUGACUAUUCCACAGAGAAAAACAGUCAUCUGAAAGAGAAAUCCAAGAUAAGUAAAGAAAUGCUCAUUUUACAAAUAAGGAAACUUGCCCAGGAUCAAACAGCUAGGGAUUGUCUGAGCCAAAUUUGAACUCGGGAAGAUGAAUUCUCCUCUGACUCUCCAGGCCCAAAGCUUUAUCCACUGUGCCAUUGAGCUGUCCCAGGCCUCUUUACUCCAAAUGGGAUCACAAAAAGUUGGACUCAACUGAACAACAACGAAAAUCUCCCCAAGAGGUACAAGUCUUAAUCUGGCAUGGAAGAUUUGACCUGCUUUAUUUCUGACCUAGUCUGGUUUGCCCCUUAUUUGGCAAUCUGAUGGUUGUCCUAGAGAACAACUGCUUCCAGGAAUUCACCAUAUUAAUGCAAGCCUUAGAGUGGACAUCCAACCAGUAGUCUACUAGAGCUUAGAACUCUUGAGUUCAUGAUAUACACUAGUUUCCCAGGGAUUUCAAGCCGUGUUAUCAUCAUGCCCAGACAAUAAAUGUUUUUACUGAUUCUAAACCAAGCCCCUUAAUUUUUUGCCUUUUUUUUGCUUAAUUUUUGGCUUUGUAUAGUCAGUGCUCAGUACUAUUCCUGCAGUGUAAUGGGUACUUAAUAAAUGCUUGUUAAUUGAU